CAAACGGCCCUUUUCAGGGCCACCAUCACACUUCUAAGAAGAAUUU
rfam:Anopheles dirus strain WRAIR2 unplaced genomic scaffold supercont1.17, whole genome shotgun sequence.